GACGAACGCUGGCGGCGUGCCUAAUACAUGCAAGUAGAACGCAAAGUUUAUACUGUAGCUUGCUACACGAUAAACUGUGAGUUGCGAACGAGUGAGUAACGCGUAGCUAACCUGCCUGGUAGCGGGGGGUAACGAUUGGAAACGAUAGCUAAUACCGCAUAAUAGUGAUUAUUGAAUGAUAAUUGAUUGAAAGAUGGCAUUGCAUCACUACCAGAUGGACAUGCGUUGGAUUAGCUAGUAGGUGAGGUAACGGCUGACCUAGGCGACGAUACAUAGCCUACCUGAGAGGGUGUACGGCCACACUGGGACUGAGACACGGCCCAGACUCCUACGGGAGGCAGCAGUAGGGAAUCUUCGGAAAUGGGCGAAAGUCUUACCAAGCAACGCCGCGUGAGUGAAAAAGGUUUUCGGAUCGUAAAGCUCUGUUGUAAGAGAAGAACGGGUGUUAGAGUGGUAAGCUGACGCUGUGACGGUAUCUUACCAAAAAGGAACGGCUAACUACGUG
rnacentral:rRNA from 1 species